CGUGGUAUCCAUCUCUUGUCUCUGCUUCUAGAAAGAUAGAACAGAUCCCCUUUUGGUUUUCUAUGGUGCUGGUCUUCCAAGCCAUGCGUGGCCACGGGGUGGGCAAGGUGGAGCAACGGAGAACGCGGGAUGUCCGACGGCGGCGCCGGAGGUUCCUGGUGUGAUGGAGGCGUUGCAGAUUUCCCGGAAGAAUCGUGCAGCCUGGUCUUCCAAGCUGGCUAUGCCAAAUCAGAGGGCUGCUCGUGCAUGAGGAAAGCUUGUAAGGGUGUUCUCUUCGAGUCCAUGUCUGGCCGAGUCGGGGACCUGUGUUGGAGCCGCGGUUGUGGCACCGGCCACCAGCGAGGCCGCAUCUCGCUGUCGCUGCUGGAAAGACAGAGGGCGGUCGCCGAGAGGCCACAGGCGCCGGGGCAGAGAGCUUUGGCGUUGUGCUGAAUGGCCAGUUGUUCGUCAUAGGCUGAGAAGAGCAAUAGAAACUUGCCGACUGAUUGAUGUUGUGUCGAAGCAUCACUCCUAAAACAACCUUGAAUUUGUCUGGUUUAGAAUUCCUGAGAAUGUCAUGCUGUUAAGGAACUCCAUUGGACACAUGUUCUCCAUGAUGUUGUAGUUUGUUGUUGCCUCGCAUAAGUGUCCAGGCUUAGGUAUGUCACAUCUUCACCUUAUAUUUGGCUCAUUAUGUAGUCAUUUAUGUUUUUGACAGUUUCAUUUCGUUGACACGACAUUGUUGUUUCUUCAAAAAAAUCGCGAUCACGCUAGUUUUGUAGCAACUAUGGGUAUGUGCUUUUGCCGAUCUCUUUUGGGGUAUUCAGCCUUAUAUCCAAUCAUCUCCUUCAUUCGAUGUUGCCUUUCCAUCGCCAGUUUGUAACAUCCAUUCUGCAAAUUCGGCCAUGUUUUCCGUAUGUAUUUGAUCUUCUUAUAGAUACUUCAGCCGCAUGUGCUCAGUUAGGCUAAAUAUUUUGACGUGAUUCCAUAGGUAUGACCUUACUCUCUGCUAUAUCUUUCCCUUUGUUAAAAUGGGGACGAUUUGUCUGAAGUCGCCUCCUAGCACAACUGUCAUGCCACCAAAUGGCUUUUCGUCGCUGUUUUCGGUUGUGAACCUUAGAAUAUCCCCAAGGCUUUUGUUUAGUGUCAUGAAGCAGUGUUUCUUUGCCAUAUGAGCUUCAUCCCACAACAUUAGUGAGGUCUUCUUUAUCAGUUCAGCCAAAUGUGAGCCUUCUUUUAUUUCCCAAGUUUGAUUCUUCUGUCAUAUUUAGUGGAGUGUGUAAUCUUAAGUGUGCUGUUCUUCCACCUUGGAGCAGCAACGCUGCAAUCCCACAUGAUGCUACUGCAAGCACUCCUUUUCCUUGUGAUCGUAACUUUGUUCUAAUUGCUUUGUUGUAACAUUUGGUACUUCUAUCUCUAGAUAUUCUUUUAAUGACUUUCCUGCCUGCCUCGUUAGUUUUUCUAUCUCGAUCGGAGCAUAUGCCUUCUUUUGUUUAGGAGAAUUCUUCCCUUGUAGUGGUUAUCUUCGGACGUUGCCUCCCAUGUUGAAUCCCACAACAUCUUUGGGCUGGCCACCUCGCAAUCGCAUAUAUUGUAGUGAAUAGAUGACACAAUUAUGUCCCUGAUUCUUAGCUGGAUGCUUUGUUGAUGCAUUCAAUCCACUCAUUAUCGCCAUUAAGAACUCCGAGCGCUUGUGUGUUGAUUUAUAUGUUGAGUGAACAAAUCCGCGAACUGUUCUAACAUCAUCAAAUGGCGUGGAUCGUUUCACUGUGUUUAGAAGCGCUCUUAGGUAGUAUCACUACCCCUGGCGGGGUGUGCAUGGUAUAUUCUUCCAAUCAUAUAAGCUCCUUUAUCGCUUCUCCCAACUAUUUGUUUCGCUUUUCCAUGCAAAUUUUGAUGGGAAUUCUGCAUAGGUUAAUUCUUUUCCUAGCUCGUGUAUUUUAUUUGCCUCCAUCAGAACUACUUUUUGAUCUUGGCUUUCUUACUAUCCUCUCAAUAUCAGUCGAGUAUGGAAACACAACUUGCUCCUUGCUUUCAAGGUAGAAUGGCAGCCUCUUGACUGGUGGAUCACGAUAGUGUAGUUCAAACUGGAAUAUCCGCUAGCAUGCAUGGAUUGUUGUUACGUAUCUCAUCUCUAGGCAUUUCUUGAUUUGUUAUUGUCGUUUUCCACAUCCCUUUCCUUUAGCAAGGCUGUUACUUGGUCGUCGCCCUUAUGGAUGUACUUAAAUAGGUUGGCCAUAUAAUCAAAAUCUGCUGCUCAAACGGUAGGAGUUUGGAAUUUGAGUCUUCUAAGUUUUGUGCCUUCUUCUGCCUGUAAAAAAUAUGUACAGUUAUCCUCUUUCCAAACCAUAAUAUUUUGCCUUCAAACGAAUGAAAAAAUAGUUAUCAGUUAAUAAAGUACAUAUGAAUUUUAUCCCAAA